GACUGAACCUCUGAAAGUGUAAGCCAGCCCCAAUUAAAUGUUGUUUUCUACAAGAGUUGCUUUGGUCAUGGUGUGUCUUCAGAGCAGCGGGAACCCUAACUGGAUCAGCCCCUUCUCCCUUUGCUGCCUGGCCACUUGGCAGCUUCUCUGGGGGAAAUGCUGGCUGUGUUCGCCUCUCUGCUAUAAGGCACUGCUCUGCCUUUUAACUCCAAGCAAUGUCUGGAGCUACAGCAACCUUCUUGGACAAUUAGACAACAAAAUGUAAAUGUUGGUCACCCAAUGGCUGAGCAGAAAAGAGGAGAGGAGAGUCAGCUCACAGGGAAGAUGGAGGAAUUGGGGCAACGAAGAAGGGGUCUGAAGAGUCAGAUCAAUAAUAAUACGAAGUGUCCCAACCACAGUAAGGGUUGGACCCUCCACCUCCCCGCUCUUCUGCGUACCAGAGAUAUCUCCCCAUCAAGGUCCUCCAAUGAAUUCAAAGGACAAUAGGCGACCACCAGUGAAUUCAAAAGGUUGCCUCUGCCCCGAUUGCAGAAUGACCUCAGUGCACUGGAUCAAUAAACCUCUUGCUUCUUGCAUCAA
rnacentral:lncRNA from 1 species